GCAGGCUCUGAAGAGCUGGGGCUCCGGGAAGACACGCUGAGGGUCCUAGCUGCCUUCCUUAGGCGUGGUGAGGCUGCCGGGUCUCCUGUUCCAACUCCACCUAGGCCCAGCUACUCCAGACUUCUAUGCUUUGGUGGCCCAGCGGCUGGAACAGCUGGUCCAAGAGCAGCUGAAAUCUCCGCCCAGCCCAGAAUUACAGGGUCCCCCAUCGACAGAGAAGGAAGCCAUACUGCGGAGGCUGGUGGCCCUGCUGGAGGAGGAGGCAGAAGUCAUUAACCAGAAGCUGGCCUCGGACCCCGCCCUGCGCAGCAAGCUGGUCCGCCUGUCCUCCGACUCUUUCGCCCGCCUGGUGGAGCUGUUCUGUAGCCGGGAUGACAGCUCUCGCCCAAGCCGAGCAUGCCCCGGGCCCCCGCCUCCUUCCCCGGAGCCCCUGGCCCGCCUGGCCCUAGCCAUG
rnacentral:circRNA from 1 species